rnacentral:rRNA from 1 species
GAUGAACGCUGGCGGCGUGCCUAAUACAUGCAAGUCGAGCGACCAGAUAAUGAGCUUGCUCCUUUGACGUUAGCGGCGGACGGGUGAGUAACACGUGGGUAACCUACUUCUAAGUCUGGAAUAACUCCGGGAAACCGGGGCUACUGCCGGAUCACAUUUACAACCGCAUGGUUCUAAAGUGAAAGAUGGUUUUGCUAUCUCUUAUAGAUGGACCCGGGCGGUAUUAGUUAGUUGGUAAGGAAACGGCUUACCAAGGCAACGAUACGUAGCUGACCGGAGAGGGUACUAGGCCAAACGGAAACUGAGACAGGGUCCAGACCCCGACGGGAGGCAGCAGGAGGAAUUCUGCCGAAAUGGGGGAAAGCCUGACGAGGCAACGCGGCGUGGGUAAGGAAGGUCUUCGGAUCGUAAAACUCUGUUUUUAGGGAAGAACAAAUGUGUAAGUAACGGUGCACGUCUUAACGGUACCAAUCAGAAAGCCACGGCUAACUACGUG